AACGAACGCUGGCGGCAUGCCUAACACAUGCAAGUCGAACGAGACCUUCGGGUCUAGUGGCGCACGGGUGCGUAACGCGUGGGAACCUGCCCUUAGGUUCGGAAUAACUCCCCGAAAGGGGUGCUAAUACCGGAUAAUGUCUUCGGACCAAAGAUUUAUCGCCUUUGGAUGGGCCCGCGUUGGAUUAGCUAGUUGGUAGGGUAAAAGCCUACCAAGGCGACGAUCCAUAGCUGGUCUGAGAGGAUGAUCAGCCACACUGGGACUGAGACACGGCCCAGACUCCUACGGGAGGCAGCAGUGGGGAAUAUUGGGCAAUGGGCGAAAGCCUGAUCCAGCAAUGCCGCGUGAGUGAUGAAGGCCUUAGGAUUGUAAAGCUCUUUUACCCGGGAUGAUAAUGACAGUACCGGGAGAAUAAGCUCCGGCUAACUCCGUG
rnacentral:rRNA from 1 species